rnacentral:rRNA from 1 species
UACGUAGGGUGCGAGCGUUGUCCGGAAUUAUUGGGCGUAAAGGGCUCGUAGGCGGUCUGUCGCGUCGGUAGUGAAAACUCAGGGCUUAACCCUGAGCCUGCUUCCGAUACGGGCAGACUAGAGGUAUGCAGGGGAGAACGGAAUUCCUGGUGUAGCGGUGAAAUGCGCAGAUAUCAGGAGGAACACCGGUGGCGAAGGCGGUUCUCUGGGCCUUACCUGACGCUGAGGAGCGAAAGCGUGGGGAGCGAACAGG